AUGAACUUGUACUUAGCGACUUAUUUUUCUUGAAUUACGUAGCAACAACCUGCACGCCAGAGGCGCCAGAAGCGCGCAUCACAUGCCGCAACCGAAGCGAACGAGGCCGACCGCGCAUGUCAAGCUCGCCUGUUCGAAAACGGCCCUUCUUUUCUUUUCCUCUUUUCUUUUUUUGUAGUAGCCUGGGUUUGUUGGGCUCCCGACGUAUUCUUGCGUUCAUUCUGCACUUCGACACGGCACCACUGCAGUAUUGGACUACGGCAAGCUCACGCCGUCCGGUGGAGCUUCGUAGGGGAGCGGCGGCUGCUUAUCGAAUGCCACAACGUUGGAUGAAUGCACAAAAAUCCCCGAACGUGCAUUUAUGUAGAGGAAAAUAAACAUUUCUUAAUUUGACAA